rnacentral:rRNA from 1 species
AAGCGAAAGAGCGUGUUCUCGCCAAGACAGCAGGGAGGUAAGCUCAGAAGCAGCUAUCCUUUAAAAAGUGUGUAACAACUUACCUGCCGAGGGGGGAUGCCUCAAAAACGGACGGGGCUAAAGCAAAAUACCGAUACUUUAGAUAAUUAUCAAGAGAUGAUUCGUGGUAGGUUGGCGUAGUGAUUGGGCCGAAGCAGGGCGAUGACGUCCUGUGGACCGAUUUCUAUUGCAGAUCUUGGCGGCAGUAACAGCAUAGUAUUGUGAGAACCAAUACCACCGCAAGCGCAAGGGUUUCCAGGCAAUGCGUUAUCAGCCUGGAGGUAGUCGAUCCUAAGAUGUACCUCAACAGAGUUCAUCGAAUGGGAAACUAGUUAAUAUUCUAGUACCUUGUAUUGAUCGUUUGAUCUAUAUGGUUCGCUUCCGGAUAAGGAGUGUACAAUUAUCGUUGUAUCUAACUAUUCAAGGGUGAAGGAGUGUCGUAAUGACGAGAUCUCAUCCGAGGUAGGAAUGGCUUCGCGUUAGCGAAGUUUUCUUGAUUCCAGGAGACCAUGAAAGACUGUGUAGUUAGAAAGAUACAAGUUCGUACCCAGAACCGACACAGGUGCGCUGGCUUAGAAAGCUAAGGUGCUACGGGUAUACCGUAUGGCGAGGGAAUUCGGCAAAUUAGUCCUGUAGCUUAGGUAUAAGGGAUGCCUGCGGUCUUCAUGAGGAAUGGGGAUCGCAGGUUGCAAUGACAAGGGGGUUUCGACUGUUUAAUAAAAACACAGGCGACUGCUAGUCCGAAAGGAUUUGUAUAGUCGCUGAAUCCUGGCCGGUGCCGGUACCUAAAACUUGGGUUCAACCGAGCUAAGGGCCGGUUAACGCCGGGAGUAACUCUGACUCUCUUAAGGUAGCCAAAUGCCUUGUCGGGUAAGUUCCGACGCGCAUGAAUGGAACAACGAGAGCCCCACUGUCCCCGCCUACAACCCGGUGAAGCCACAUAAGGUGGACGAACAGUCCAUCAACUUCCAUCGGGGAGAGAAGACCCCGUGGAGUUUUACUGCAGCUUGUGCUUGUGGUAUAGUAAGAAUUGCACAGGGUAUCUGGGAGCUAUGCUUAACAUUCCCCGGGAUGUUAAUGAAGCAACGAUGUAACACCAGACUCUUUUUGCAGUACCACUUAUCCAGUGAAGACCGGAGACACGUGCAGGUGGGCAGUUCGGCUGGGGCGGCACCCCUUUGAAAAGAUAUCAAAGGGGCCCAAAGUUGAGUUCAAACGGGGCAGAAAUCCGUUGAAGAGGGCAAAGCCAAAAACUCGACUGAAUGGAUUUCCAAACGCACGGAAUUCAUAGACGAAAGUCUGGCUUAGCGAUCCUUCGUGUGCCCACUAUUGGGGCCCGGAGGUGACAGAAAAAUUACCCCAGGGAUAACAGGCUCGUCGCGGGCGAGAGCUCCUAUCGACCCCGCGGUUUGGUACCUCGAUGUCGGCUUUUCCUAUCCUGGUCCUGCAGCAGGGGCCAAGGGUGAGGCUGCUCGCCUAUUAAAAGGGAACAUGAGCUGGGUUUAGACCGUCGUGAGACAGGUCGGUCUCUGCCUGAUGGAAGCGCGAAUAACUGAGGGGAAGUUCCUCCUAGUACGAGAGGAACAGAGGAACGUCGCCACUGGUUUACCGGUUGUCUGAUAAGGCAGGCCGGGCAGCUAAGCGAUUUAGGCUAAGUGCUGAAAGCAUCUAAGCACGAAUCCUAUCCCGAGACAAGUUAUUCUUUCGUAAGAUGAAGGUCGGCAGCAAAAUACUGCGUUGAUAGGAAGGUGGUGUAGAUCACAAGCUUCGGCGAGUGGUGAGCCAGCCUUUACUAAUAGACCAACACAUCAGUUCA